UGCGUAGGUGGUGGGAUAAGUCUCGUGUGAAAGCUCGCAGCUUAACUGCGAAAAGUCACGGGGUACUAUUCUGCUGGAGGCUUGGAGGGGGGACGUGGAAUACUUGGUGUAGCAGUGAAAUGCGUAGAUAUCAAGUGGAACACCAGUGGCGAAGGCGAGUCCCUGGACAAGACCUGACACUGAGGCACGAAAGCCAGGGGAGCAAACA
rnacentral:rRNA from 1 species